GGGGUAAACCUGCGAAACUCGAAUGAACGAACGGAGAGAUUCAUCGUCAUUUCGCGGCGUACGGACGCACGUUCGAUGCUUUCGGCCUCGGCCGGUGGCACGUCGUGCGCACGUCACGUCCGUGGACGGCGUGCACUUCUCUCUUAGUAUCCACAUGCAUCGCGACCCGUUCGAUGUCGGUCUAAGCGCCGUUCGGGAGCCCCGUCGUCCCCGGCAACGGUGGCGGUGGGACCGUGACGGACGCCGACCGGCCGUCGGACGGUAGUUACAAUGAAACGCGCACGCGUUUACGCGUCCGGCCCGACGCAAGUCAACGUCGUAUCCGACGUUCCGCCCGAGUGCGGACGUUGGUGCGGCGCGUCUGUCGUCGCAGCCGUGGUCUCGGACUGUGCGCGUCUCUGUCAGCGAUGAUUCAGUUUCGGGCACUCGCAGGACCCGUCUUGAAACACGGACCAAGGAGUCUAGCAUGUAUGCGAGUCAUUGAGUAUAUUUUGACAAAACUGAAAGGCGUAACGAAAGUGAAGGCGUGCGCUUGUCGCGCGCUCAGGGAGGAUGGAGCGUCGAUCUCGGUCGAUCUCUCGCACUCCCGAGGCGUCUCGUUUCCAAUCUGUGAAUGCAGGCGCGCUC
rnacentral:rRNA from 1 species